rnacentral:rRNA from 1 species
UGCGUAACGCGUAUGCAACCUGCCUUAUGCAGAGGGAUAGCCCAUGGAAACGUGGAUUAAUACCCCAUAACAUCACCGGAUCGCAUGGUUUGGUGAUAAAAACUCUGGUGGCAUAAGAUGGGCAUGCGUCUGAUUAGCUUGUUGGUGAGGUAACGGCUCACCAAGGCGACGAUCAGUAGGGGUUCUGAGAGGAUUAUCCCCCACACUGGUACUGAGACACGGACCAGACUCCUACGGGAGGCAGCAGUGAGGAAUAUUGGUCAAUGGGCGAGAGCCUGAACCAGCCAUCCCGCGUGCAGGAUGACAGCCCUAUGGGUUGUAAACUGCUUUUCCACGCCAAGAAACGGCUCUACGUGUAGGGCACUGACGGUAGCGUGGGAAUAAGCAUCGGCUAACUCCGUGCCAGCAGCCGCGGUAAUACGGAGGAUGCAAGCGUUAUCCGGAUUCAUUGGGUCUAAAGGGUGCGCAGGCGGGCUUUUAAGUCAGUGGUGAA